rnacentral:lncRNA from 1 species
UUGUUUUCUCCUUUCUUCAACAGGCAACUCUCCUUAAUUCUCACAGAUUGAGCAGCAACAGUUAAGAUGAAAGCAUCACCUAUAUACUUUGCGCUGAUAUCCAUUCUCUUUGUAGCCUUUGCCUGUUUGGUAAGUGCCUUAAUUUUGAAAGAGAUAGCACAUCCUCAUUCUCAUCAAGUGUUUUACAUAAUAUCACUAUGCUUACGAGCCUUUUUGGCUACUAUUGCUUCGCUUGGUUUCCUUUUCUUUGCUCUUUUGGCUUGCUUCGAGGGCUUUGGAGAACGUAGUAGCGGCAACACUAUUGAAUCUGCAUCACAGCCACCAGUAAAGCCUAGCAAGAGCAAGAUUGUGCCAACAUCAACAUUACCACCUGAAUUUAGUCUGCAGAGUCCAAAUAUUGUAUAGAUCAGUAAUUAUAUAUAUAUAUAUAGAGAGAGAGAGAGAGAGAGAGAGAGAGAGUACUGAUAUAUAUGUAUAUAGGCA